UAAUAGCUCACUAGUCGAGUCGGCCUGCGCGGAAGAUGUAACGGGGCUGAAAUAUAGCACCGAAGCUGCGGCAUCAGGCGUAUCACUAAUACGCCUUACGAUUAACAACAUGGAAUGGUGCGAAGCGACAUGAAAGGUUGUUCAAGCAACCCGAACGUUGAGUCGGGCAUCUUUGAGUAAGGAUGAUUAGUGAUACGCCUGUUGGGUAGGGGAGCGUUCUGUAAGCGGAUGAAGGUGGCUCGAGAGGGCUGCUGGACGUAUCAGAAGUGCGAAUGCUGACAUAAGUAACGAUAAAACGGGUGAAAAACCCGUUCGCCGGAAGACCAAGGGUUCCUGUCCAA
rnacentral:rRNA from 1 species